rnacentral:rRNA from 1 species
AUUGAACGCUGGCGGAAUGCUUUACACAUGCAAGUCGAACGGCAGCACGGACUUCGGUCUGGUGGCGAGCGGCGAACGGGUGAGUAAUGUAUCGGAACGUGCCCAGUCGUGGGGGAUAACGUAGUGAAAAUUACGCUAAUACCGCAUACGAUCUAUGGAUGAAAGCGGGGGAUCGCAAGACCUCGCGCGAUUGGAGCGGCCGAUAUCAGAUUAGGUAGUUGGUGGGGUAAAGGCCCACCAAGCCAACGAUCUGUAGCUGGUCUGAGAGGACGACCAGCCACACUGGAACUGAGACCCGGUCCAGACUCCUACGGGAGGCAGCAGUGGGGAAUUUUGGACAAUGGGCGAAAGCCUGAUCCAGCCAUUCCGCGUGCAGGAUGAAGGCCCUCGGGUUGUAAACUGCUUUUGUACAGAACGAAAAGGUUUCUACUAAUACUAGGAGCUCAUGACGGUACUGUAAGAAUAAGCACCGGCUAACUACGUGCCAGCCGCCGCAGUAA